rnacentral:rRNA from 1 species
GACGAACGCUGGCGGCGUGCUUAACACAUGCAAGUCGAACGGAAAGUCCCUGCUUUUGUUGGGUUCUCGAUUGGCGAACUGGUGUGUAACACGUGAGUAUCCUGCCCUUGACUUUGUGAUAACUUCAGGAAACUGGGGCUAAUACCGGAUAGGAGCUCCUGCUGCAUGGUGGUGGUUGGAAAGUUUCGGCGGUUGGGGAUGGACUCGCGGCUUAUCAGCUUGUUGGUGGGGUAGUGGCUUACCAAGGCUUUGACGGGUAGCCGGCCUGAGAGGGUGACCGGCGACAAUGGGACUGAGAUACGGCCCAGAGUGCUACGGGAGGCAGCAGUGGGGAAUAUUGCACAAUGGGCGGAAGCGUGAGGAAGAAAAGCGGGGAGCGGGAAGAAGGCAUUCGGGUGGAAAACAGAAUUAGAAUGAGAAGAAGAGGGAGUGACGGUAAUGGGUAAAGAAGCACCGGCUAACUACGUG